UACGUAGGGUGCGAGCGUUUAAUCGGAAUUACUGGGCGUAAAGCGUGCGCAGGCGGCUUCGCAAGUCAGACGUGAAAUCCCCCAGGCUCAACCUGGGAACUGCAUCCGAUACUGGAUGGCUUGAAUUCGGGAGAGGGAUGCAGAAUUCCAGGUGUAGCGGUGAAAUGCGUAGAUAUCGUUUGGAACGCCAAUGGUGAAAACAGGUUGCUGGGAGUGUGCUGACGCUGAGACACGAAAGCCAGGGAGCAAACGGG
rnacentral:rRNA from 1 species